ACUCCUACGGGAGGCAGCAGUGGGGAAUAUUGGACAAUGGGCCACAAGCCUGAUCCAGCAAUUCUGUGUGCACGAUGAAGGUCUUCGGAUCGUAAAGUGCUUUCAGUUGGGAAGAAGAAAGUGACGGUACCAACAGAAGAAGCGACGGCUAAAUACGUGCCAGCAGCCGCGGUAAU
rnacentral:rRNA from 1 species